rnacentral:rRNA from 1 species
UACGGAGGAUCCAAGCGUUAUCCGGAUUUAUUGGGUUUAAAGGGUGCGUAGGCGGAUUGAUAAGUUAGAGGUGAAAUGUCCGAGCUCAACUCGGGAACUGCCUCUAUACUGUUGAUCUAGAGAGUAGAUGCGGUAGGCGGAAUGUAUGGUGUAGCGGUGAAAUGCUUAGAGAUCAUACAGAACACCGAUUGCGAAGGCAGCUUACCAAUCUAUAUCUGACGUUGAGGCACGAAAGCGUGGGGAGCAAACAGG